AGUGGAUUAUUAUAUAAAAUAAUUUCUAAGGUAUGUAAUAGUUUGGGGAUUAGGGUGGAUAAUUUAAUCCCUUGAUGAAAGGCCUUAUAAUGUUUGCUAAAUUUGGAAAAUCUCAAAAUGUUUAUCUUGUUGCCAAUGGGAAAAAUUAUAGGCUUAUUUUACUUUGUUAACUUACUAUGAUAUCCCCUUGAGUUGCAAAUGUGACAUCUUUAAGAUGAUAACUCUAAUGAAAUGGAGGUAAAUACAGAGAAAGUUUUUAAAAUAUCCAUUGUCCAUUUUCAAGUGUGCUUUAGCUUCUCAUGUUAACCACCAUACUUGUCCUGAGGUUCACAGUGGUGGCCAGGAGUCCUGGGUCAAGUAUAUGAAAAUCUUUGAAGUAUCUUCUCUGUAUUAUUUUUAUUUGAUAGAUAAACCUAACAAUAAUUAGGGUGGAAGUAUUAGGCAUCACAUAGGCUAUUUCUAGCUAUUGUUUUUAUUGUUGUUGUUCAGUGAUGAGUUUUUACUGUCCAAUGUUUAAUCUGUGUGACUGAAAAAAAAAAAAACUAGUAUUUCAUUCAUGUAAAUAUUAACUGAAUUUUCCUUACUGGUUAUCAUUCUUCAUAGAAAACUGUAAACAUUUUGCUAAAUUCAGUGUAUUCUAAAUGGAAAAAUAAAUGGUAG
rnacentral:lncRNA from 1 species